AUUGAACGCUGGCGGCAGGCCUAACACAUGCAAGUCGAACGGUAACAGGGAUCAGCUUGCUGAUUCGCUGACGAGUGGCGGACGGGUGAGUAAUGUCUGGGAAACUGCCUGAUGGAGGGGGAUAACUACUGGAAACGGUAGCUAAUACCGCAUAACGUCGCAAGACCAAAGAGGGGGACCUUCGGGCCUCUUGCCAUCGGAUGUGCCCAGAUGGGAUUAGCUAGUAGGUGGGGUAACGGCUCACCUAGGCGACGAUCCCUAGCUGGUCUGAGAGAAUGACCAGCCACACUGGAACUGAGACACGGUCCAGACUCCUACGGGAGGCAGCAGUGGGGAAUAUUGCACAAUGGGCGCAAGCCUGAUGCAGCCAUGCCGCGUGUAUGAAGAAGGCCUUCGGGUUGUAAAGUACUUUCAGCGGGGAGGAAGGGAGUAAAGUUAAUACCUUUGCUCAUUGACGUUACCCGCAGAAGAAGCACCGGCUAACUCCGUG
rnacentral:rRNA from 1 species